rnacentral:tRNA from 1 species
UGGGGUGUCGCCAAGUGGUACGGCAGCGGACUUUGACUCCGCUAUUCGUAGGUUCGAAUCCUUCCACCCCAG